rnacentral:rRNA from 1 species
CACACCGCCCGUCGCUACUACCGAUUGAAUGGCUCAGUGAGGCCUUCGGACUGGCUUAGGGAGGUUGGCAACGACCACCCCGAGCCGGAAAGUUCGUCAAACUCGGUCAUUUAGAGGAAGUAAAAGUCGUAACAAGGUUUCCGUAGGUGAACCUGCGGAAGGAUCAUUACCGUGGGGAUUCGUCCCCAUUGAGAUAGCACCCUUUGUUUAUGAGCACCAUUGUUUCCUUGGCAGGCUUGCUUGCCAGUGGACACCCCAAAAACCCUUUGCAGUAGCAGUAUCUUCAGUAAAAACAAAUAUUAAAACUUUCAACAACGGAUCUCUUGGUUCUGGCAUCGAUGAAGAACGCAGCGAAAUGCGAUAAGUAGUGUGAAUUGCAGAAUUCAGUGAAUCAUCGAAUCUUUGAACGCACAUUGCGCCCUUCGGUAUUCCGUUGGGCAUGCCUGUUCGAGCGUCAUUUAAACCUUCAAGCUAUGCUUGGUGUUGGGUCUUGUUCGCGUCUUUGUGCGUGGACUGGCCUUAAAUUCAUUGGCAGCCGGUAUGUUGGUUUCGUGCGCAGCACAUUGCGUUUUGAUUCCAGCCUGCCCCCUUCCAUUAAGCCUCUUUUUUACUUUGACCUCGGAUCAGGUAGGGAUACCCGCUGAACUUAAGCAUAUCAAUAAGCGGAGGAAAAGAAACCAACAGGGAUUGCCUCAGUAACGGCGAGUGAAGCGGCAAUAGCUCAAAUUUGAAAUCUGGCUCUUUCAGGGUCCGAGUUGUAAUUUGCAGAGGGCGCUUUGGCGUCGGCAGCAGCCUAAGUUCCUUGGAACAGGUCAUCAUAGAGGGUGAGAAUCCCGUAUGUGGCUGCUUGUCUUCGCCGUGUAAAGCCCCUUCGAUGAGUCGAGUUGUUUGGGAAUGCAGCUCUAAAUGGGAGGUAAAUUUCUUCUAAAGCUAAAUAUUGGCCAGAGACCGAUAGCGCACAAGUAGAGUGAUCGAAAGAUGAAAAGCACUUUGGAAAGAGAGUCAAAAAGCACGUGAAAUUGUUGAAAGGGAAGCGCUUGCAGCCAGACGUGCCCGCAGUUGCUCAUCCAGGGUUUUCCCUGGUGCACUCUUCUGUGGGCAGGCCAGCAUCAGUCCGGGCGGUUGGAGAAAGACCUGUGUCAUGUAGCUCUUUUCGGGGAGUGUUAUAGGGCAGGUGGAAUGCAACCAGCCUGGACUGAGGUCCGCGCAUCUGCUAGGAUGCUGGCGUAAUGGCUGUAAGCGGCCCGUCUUGAAACACGGACCAAGGAGUCUAACAUCUAUGCGAGUGUUUGGGUGUCAAGCCCGAGCGCGUAAUGAAAGUGAACGGAGGUGGGAACCCCUCGGGGUGCACCAUCGACCGAUCCUGAUGUCUUCGGAUGGAUUUGAGUAAGAGCAUAGCUGUUGGGACCCGAAAGAUGGUGAACUAUGCCUGAAUAGGGUGAAGCCAGAGGAAACUCUGGUGGAGGCUCGCAGCGGUUCUGACGUGCAAAUCGAUCGUCAAAUUUGGGCAUAGGGGCGAAAGACUAAUCGA